CGUACACUCCUGCGGGAGGCAGCAGUGGGGAAUAUUGGACAAUGGGCGCAAGCCUGAUCCAGCCAUGCCGCGUGAGUGAUGAAGGCCCUAGGGUUGUAAAGCUCUUUCACCGGAGAAGAUAAUGACGGUAUCCGGAGAAGAAGCCCCGGCUAACUUCGUGCCAGCAGCCGCGGUAAUACGAAGGGGGCUAGCGUUGUUCGGAAUUACUGGGCGUAAAGCGCACGUAGGCGGAUCGAUCAGUCAGGGGUGAAAUCCCAGGGCUCAACCCUGGAACUGCCUUUGAUACUGUCGAUCUGGAGUAUGGAAGAGGUGAGUGGAAUUCCGAGUGUAGAGGUGAAAUUCGUAGAUAUUCGGAGGAACACCAGUGGCGAAGGCGGCUCACUGGUCCAUUACUGACGCUGAGGUGCGAAAGCGUGGGGAGCAAACAGGAUUAGAAACCCGUGUAGUCCCA
rnacentral:rRNA from 1 species